GUGCGAUCAGCACGACGGAGACAACAAAGCUGCGAUUUCGUUUCGUCUUGAUCGACCACGGAUUCACGACAAAAUCCAACCUUUCUACCAAUAGAAGAAAUCACACAAAAAUACAUAUAAAACACGUAUUUUUGGAUUUUCUCGAGAUCCGUGCGUCAAACUCAAAAUCCGUCAGCGUCAUUAGUUCCAGAAUAGCUGACCCGGUCGAAACGAGCUAUUGGACUGCUAUGAACAGAGUCCGGUACGAGCCAGAAGCCAACUUCUCACCGCGGCUUCUCCGGAGAAUCGAGUUACUAUUCACUUUAAGUGAAACUUGGAAAUCGCGUAGAAUUUCCGUUUUAACUCGUUUUCGCACGAAACUUGACGAGUGCUUUUGUAAUUAAAUUACACACAAAAACAUCGUCAACUGAGAGUUUAGCUACACUGCAUAAAUCUCAGUCCUUACAUCAUCCCCUCCUUAAAGGAAGUUUCGUCCUCGAAACUUGCUCACAGGCAGGGGUGAUCCUACGCCAGAGAAUCAACACUCACCUCGGGGAACCGAACUACAACCCGACAAAGCCAGAACUUAACCAUCGGAACCCAUCGAUGGCACUCAACUCUCUUAGGUCCAAGACCUAACCUUUUGCCUAGACCAAAAAGGUCUAAGGCUGCAAGUACCAGUUGCCUUACAAUUGAACCUGCGCAACUCUCACUCGGGUACAAACAGAUCAACAUAAACCAAUGCAUGUCCGUUACUAAGUGAACAAGGUUGCCUCUCGCAACAUGCGAUCGUAACCACCAGUGAUGCCAAACACCUGUCUCUACGAGACCCUGUCGCUGCCGUCCCCAAGGGACCCUAGCGAUCGAUGUUCCUAGCAACACUAAAUGCCCGUCUCAUUGAGACUUCAACAUACCUUUCACCAAGUGACCGAACAAUGACACAAUCCAAUCCAAGGUAUCCACGAUAGACCAAAACAUAUACCUUGUACAACAACGCAAGCUGCGACAUCUGAGCCAACUACAAGGCUCACUAGAUGAUCAAAGAUAACCGUCACCUCUCAUGCAAGAGAAAAGAAAUAUCGACCCAAUCCAGAUGUUCCCCAAAGGGGUAGGAUAUCCUGUCCUAACUUUUGACAAUACGUUGUCUGCAGCCAACGUACUUAUCAAAAGAAAGGUAAGAUACCCGUGGAUCUAUUACCAACAACAAGUUGGAGACAUGACACAAAACUAAGACAACCAAUGACCCUAUAAUGCGCUAGAAUGCACGAACAAAGAUCUGACCUCACGAUUGUACAAAAGCAAGACUCAACACACACCACACUGACAAGAAACCCACAAAGGUCGAAACAUCUGCCUAGGUAACUCCACCAACAAAACCACCUGACAUAACUCAAUAGAAUACACCCUGUGCUUGCGGAUUGACCAGCAAAAACUUUCAAGUCCCGUGUUGGAGGUGGGGCAAUAACACUAGCAAUAGCAGUCUGAUGACACAUCACUAUUCAGAGCUGGUUCGCUCUCUGCCCCCACUCCUAACACCAAAACAAGCACAUGCCAUAACCUGCAACACAAGAACACGAGGUAAUAAACACAAAUCAACCCUCGAACCUAUUAGAUCGAUAACCUCGAGACUAAAUCUCAUAUACCCCGCGCUCGUACGUGCCUACGAUUUUAUGGUCAUCCUAUGGUCAACCUAACCAAUGGUUCAGUUAGAAAACUUGUAAAAGCAGUUGUAGUUGUUUCACGCUCUGAUACCAUCUUAAUCUGUCACGCCCCGGGGCCGAUUUAAAAGUCAUUACCAUUUUUAAAACUCAGAGUCGCGGAAGAUGUACCAAAUUUUUUUUUUUUUUUUUUUUUUUUUUUUUUUUUUUUUUUUGACCCGCCACAAAUACAAAGUUCCUCUGUCCAUUCGGGCAGAGCCUCCUUUGUAUCUGCACGGCGUACCAACGGAUACAACAGGAUCACAACCACAAUCUACAUUUACCAAUCAGCAACCAAUUCAUGAUAUGCAUUUCCAUACAGCUAACAAUCCUUAGAAUGAUGCAUGCCUCUAAGCACUCCUUAGGCGCUGGAUGAUGCAAUGCACAAUACAACAACCAUCCUAUUUAAAAGUGCUCCCCACACAGAAGCUUUUAUUUUUGAACUCUAAUUCAUUCAUCAUGAAAAAUCAUUUGAAAAUCUUUUGAAAACUGUUUCCCACACGGAAACUCUAUUUUGAAAACCGACUACCUCGAGGGGUAGAAAACCACGAUGCGUACAUCCAUAAAUACAAAUUCGAGAACCACAAAGUAUACAAACAUCCCAAAACUGAAGAUCCAUAAACCAAAUCCAUAAUUCCACAAAUCCACAAAUUCAACCAGCUCACAAUAUUCAAACAUCAAGUAUGAUCAUCUAACUGAACCAUAUAAACUAAUUAAGCUAUAACAACAGAAUAGUAAGGAUAAAAACUAAAUCGAUAACCUGGGUCGGAAGCUCUAUCGACCGCUACGAACGUACCUCACGUCUCGUCCCAAAACUCAUCGCCUGUAAUACCUGAAAAAUGGUGGGGGAGGUGAGAACAUGUAAACAUGUCUCCCCUCCCAGUGGGUACCGCAAGCCGAUGAAGGCGAGGAGUACUCACCGGAUCAGGAAGAGCUAAACAACAGUACGGGUCAGUAGAAAAUACAGUAGCAAUAACAAAGAAUGAAGAGACAUAUAUAUGAAAGAAAGUACAACUACCGCUACUGUAAUGUACAACUGCAAGCAUACAAGGAUAUCAAAACUAUAGUAGUAAGACAACUGUAAAGAAAGAACUAGAAGUAUAUAUACAACAACCACUACUAUAGCUAUAUGCGUCAACCGGACGAGAAGUCCAAAAGUACCCAAUCUAAACCGCCGUGUCGGUCUAAGGACCUCAGGCAAAAGCCACUAUCUGCUCACACCUGGCAUGUAACCCUAGCACAAAGACAACACCGCUGGGCUCACGGGUCGGAUGUACGACCACUUUUCCGGAAAAGAACACCCUCCUGCGGGGGAUCAACCCGCUGGUGUACGUGAAAUGCACUCGAGCUGUGGCGAUCAAUGCAGAUAUGAUCAAUAGCCAAACGUCGGCAACCAGCCGACAAUCACCGCCCCUCGGGGCAAACCGACCAAUAGGUCAUCCAACUGUAAGAAAGCACAAGAACCAACCAGUCAGGUCAACUAAGAGGGAACCACUCAACAUCCUAUCGAAGGUAUACAAGCACUGACUACUAACGUCAACUAACAUAUAUGCACGACGAACCGGCGAAUAGGUCACCAGAGUAUAACAAUAAAUCCCGAAUUACCGUCGGCCACUAGCCGACAAUCCAACCCCUCAGGGUACACCGACCUCAUAGGUCAUCGACGACAGGACUCACGAAGCUGACAGACUAGGUCACAAACAUACCAAAUAGUGGAACUGAAUAAACUAUAAUCAUCCGUCGGUGCUAGCCGACAAUCCCACCCCUUAGGGUCUACCGACCUCAAGGGUCAUCGAACGACAGAAGUCAAGAAACAGACCAGCCCAAUACAUAAUGCAACAACCGACCAACCAGGUCAACAGAUAUAAGAUAAAAGCACCGAUCAACUAGGUCACCGAAACGAAGUACGAGAACCGACCAAUCAGGUCACCGAAACAAAGUACGAGAACCGACCAAUCAGGUCACCGGUAUCACAUAUGGAUAAACUACUCUACUCCUACACAUGAUACUAAGCAUAGAAACAUAUGAGUAGAGUAUAAUAGAAACAACGGGGAUGCAAGCUCAAUAUACUAUGCGAUAGUAACAAUAGAAGAGUAAGGGUAAGAAACCGUCACCAAGCGUGCACCACUGUACCGACGUCGGAUCGAAGUACCCACCUGUACAGAUGUCGCGUCUGUCUCCUGACUGCAAAAGAAUGUCGACAGGACCUAUAGAGGGUCCACCGGGUUAGUAUCUAACCCACAACUAAUAAUCACAGUAUCCACAACCCCACAAACGAUUCCACGAAGAUCGGUUUCCCAAUAUCGAUUACCGUAACUCACCGGAAGUCCCGAAAACUACACCGGGACGCCGUCGGGACCCACUACGUGUCCCGAAACUCACCGACUCGUGUCACGAGUCACCUGCUGCCCCAAAACACUCCAAUUUGGGUGUUUUGGCAGCAAACACAAGAUAACACCCCUACACAAUUAUCGCCGGAUAAUUGUACGAAUCCGGGUUCCCGAAUGCGUUUAUUUCGACACCGGAACCCACCGUCGCUCACCCAUCAUCACCGAACCCACAAUGUGAUGAUGGUGACCAGCCAACAAGGCUUAGCGACUACUCACAGAGCAACCAAACAACGUCGGAAGAAAUCCGAACCGAAACCGCGUUCUUUCGGCGAAUUUCGCCGAAAAACGCACCAAAAUCGACUCUUCGAUUUCCGCGAAAACUACAAGAUCAUGGACAAUCAGUCCAGAGGUCAAACACACUCACACACAUUGCCCACAGUAGCCACACAAUGCACAAUUGCAUAAAAGCCCCUCAACUUACAUAAAAUUCCAUUAUUUUAUGUAAAUUGAGCGAUCAAGCGGCUCGUUCACGUAAACCGAGAACUUAUAAAGUCCGCAGAGACACGUGCUGACAGGUCUCAACGUACCGGAGUCCGUGCUCAUGAUCCGGAGCACAGCGGCUCACCGUGGGAAGCGCGGGAGCAACCCGAAGGUUCAGCGAAUAGCGCGCAGUCAGGGAAGAUCGCGCCGAACAGAACUAACCGGACACUUCUGAUCCAAAGUGAGGUGAGCACUGCGAUCAGCACUGACCAACGAUCACCGUGCUCACCUCCGGAGGCAUCAGAACAGCCUCGGAUCACCGGAUAAGCGUGCGCAAACCCAAAACAGCAGCCAAAAAGGCUGAAACGGAGCGACAUCGCCAAAACAGCAGAACGGGGCCUUCCCGACAGAAACAAAGGUGAGCACGAUGAUCAGCAACUUGCCAGGAUCAUCGUGCUCCCUUCCGUAGAGAUCGGGGAAGCUCGGGAAGCCCAGAACAAGAAACCCACUCAAAGAAGCCCUAUUUCGGGCUUGGCCGGAGCAACCUUGCUCCGGUCGGCCUCCGGCGGCACGGCGGCGCGCGCGGGGCCCUGAGUCGGGUGAGGGGGAGGGGAGGAACACCGUGCUCACCUCAGACAGCGGCUGGAAGCGGCGGCGGCGAUGGCGGGGCAAGAUGAGCCCGCACGGGUUCCAGGAGUUGCUGCGGCCACGGCGGCGGCCGAGGAGCUCCGGGACGGCGGAGGAGGGUUGCAGGAGGCUGGAGGGGUGCCAGGAGUGCGGCCUCGAGUGGCGGCGGCGCGGGGAAGAAGACCCGAGCUCGGCUCGGGCCGAGCUUGCCCAAGGAACCCGCCAGGCGACUGCAGCGCGGCGGCGGCGUUCGGCGACGGCGGCGGCGUUCGGCGACGGCGGCUGGCGGCGGGGAAGGACGCCGGGGCUCCGGGAAGUCGACCGAGGUAGUCCACGCUGGCGGCGGCGCAGAGAAAAGGGCCGCAGGCUUGCCUCGGCCUGGGCUCGGGUUGGGGAGCUGCAGGCUGCAGCAGCGGCACGAGGAGGCGGCGGCGGUCGACGGGGAGGCUCGCCGGAGCACGGGGCGACGCCGGUGAAGGGCCGGGAGGCAACUGCAGCCUCGGCCUGGCUCCAACCAGAGAAAAAGAGAGGGAUAGAUGGAGAGAGAGAGAGAGAGAGAAGAAAGGUGACUGCCGCGGUGGCUGGCCGGCCGGGGCUCAGUCGGCGGCGGCCGGGGGGUGGUGCAGCAAGGGCAGGGGGCAGGGUGAAGGUGGCUGGGGGCGCAGGGAGAACUAGGGUUAGGGUUUCCAAUGCAAAACCCUAGAAUACCUUAUAUACAUAAGGCGUUAAUCGCGCGAAAGUCCCUCCAAACUCGGUAUUUCAAUCCGAGUCCCUCACGGUACGACAAAAACGCAAGAAUACCCCUCCACGGGCGAUCUCACGCAAAACGGUACAUAAAAUGUCGCGACUUUCGCGAAAAUACCAUUUUGCCACUACCGACCUCUCCUCGAUCAACGCGCGAUCUCUGCAGAUCCGUCCGUCAGAUUUGCGAACGGAUUGCACCAGUGCGAUCAGCACGACGGAGACAACAAAGCUGCGAUUUCGUUUCGUCUUGAUCGACCACGGAUUCACGACAAAAUCCAACCUUUCUACCAAUAGAAGAAAUCACACAAAAAUACAUAUAAAACACGUAUUUUUGGAUUUUCUCGAGAUCCGUGCGUCAAACUCAAAAUCCGUCAGCGUCAUUAGUUCCAGAAUAGCUGACCCGGUCGAAACGAGCUAUUGGACUGCUAUGAACAGAGUCCGGUACGA
rnacentral:lncRNA from 1 species